GUUUGAUCCUGGCUCAGGAUGAACGCUGGCGGCGUGCCUAAUACAUGCAAGUCGAACGCUUCACUUCGGUGAAGAGUGGCGAACGGGUGAGUAAUACAUAAGUAACCUGGCAUCUACAGGGGGAUAACUGAUGGAAACGUCAGCUAAGACCGCAUAGGUGUAGAGAUCGCAUGAACUCUAUAUGAAAAGUGCUACGGGACUGGUAGAUGAUGGACUUAUGGCGCAUUAGCUUGUUGGUAGGGUAACGGCCUACCAAGGCGACGAUGCGUAGCCGACCUGAGAGGGUGACCGGCCACACUGGGACUGAGACACGGCCCAGACUCCUACGGGAGGCAGCAGUAGGGAAUUUUCGGCAAUGGGGGAAACCCUGACCGAGCAACGCCGCGUGAAGGAAGAAGUAAUUCGUUAUGUAAACUUCUGUCAUAGAGGAAGAACGGUGGAUAUAGGGAAUGAUAUCCAAGUGACGGUACUCUAUAAGAAAGCCACGGCUAACUACGUGCCAGCAGCCGCGGUAAUACGUAGGUGGCGAGCGUUAUCCGGAAUUAUUGGGCGUAAAGAGGGAGCAGGCGGCACUAAGGGUCUGUGGUGAAAGAUCGAAGCUUAACUUCGGUAAGCCAUGGAAACCGUAGAGCUAGAGUGUGUGAGAGGAUCGUGGAAUUCCAUGUGUAGCGGUGAAAUGCGUAGAUAUAUGGAGGAACACCAGUGGCGAAGGCGACGAUCUGGCGCAUAACUGACGCUCAGUCCCGAAAGCGUGGGGAGCAAAUAGGAUUAGAUACCCUAGUAGUCCACGCCGUAAACGAUGAGUACUAAGUGUUGGGUGUCAAACCUCAGUGCUGCAGUUAACGCAAUAAGUACUCCGCCUGAGU
rnacentral:rRNA from 1 species